rnacentral:sRNA from 1 species
UUUUAGCCCUGAUGGCAGCGGCAUCCUUUCCUGCCUCCCGAAGCCUCGGGAGUGGCAGGAAAGAUACAGCGAACAGCAGGAUUAGCU